AUACACAGCAAAAUCACCAGUGUUAAAUUUUCAGGGAUGGUGUUAAAUACACAGUGUUGAUGCUGUUUUAACACUAUCUGGUAAUAAAAUAACACUGCCAUUGCUAGGCCAGUGUUAUAUUCACGACAGUGUCAGUGUAAAACAAGGGUGUUAUCAGAUUUCACUCUGAGCGGUGUAAAUCAAGCCACGCCUCCACUAAACAUAUCCUGUCAGGGAUUUUACCGCCAUUUUCUUUCACAGGAGGACUGAAGAGAUCAGAUGCUAGUUUGGUGAAAGUUCACACUGAGUGCUUCAAAUCAUUCAGACGAGAUGCUGUUUUUAGGGCAGUUUAUUAAAGAAGACCUGACAUGGAUGACUUCCAAUGAGAAACGACUGCUAAUACUUAUAUAAAUUCAUUACAGAAGGACCCUACCAGACUAUAUUUGAAUACGGCAUACCCAUGAAUUCUGGAACUGUUAUUCCUUAACCCAGUUUGGAGGAUAAGAGCUUACCAACUAGUUAUAAAUAUGCUGAGGUGAUGUAUUGCAAAAUAGCCAACAUACAACAAUAUGGAUGACCCUCUGUCUGGUCAACAGGAAUUUAAAUAUGGACGGGACAGUGAUGUGGCAGCUCUUCCCUGGCUCAUUCACCUCUUGCCUUCAUUUGUGAAAGGAAGAAAGACUGGAGAGGGUCGAUGUGCAACUGAAGCUACUGAUUGUGCUGUGUGAUGAGCAUCAAUCCAUGCUUUGAGGUGGAUGAAUCAGCACAGCCCUGCCUGCACUGCGUUGGGAACAGAAGUUGCAUCCAGAAUUUUUGCAUCAUUCUGGACCAAAAAGCCAUUCCCUCCAUGAUGAAGACCACUGAUGCAGCCUUCCACUACAUCAUGAGUAAAACAACUACAGAACUAAAUACCAGGUUGGAACGUAUUUAAGAAAAAUGAAACGUCUUUUGAAUUGAAAUGUCUGUUUUGUUAUGGAAAAAUCUUUAGUAUUGUGAAGGAUAAGCAUUUCUGCCUGCCAGUAAGGUAAUAUCAGUGUAUUUUAAUGUUCAAGUUUUGAGUAGGGUGGCUAAUUUUUUUUUACUCAUUUGAUAUAUUAAAGACCUUAUAAUAAGUGGUUUUCAUGUCCCUGCGCUGUGGUAUAAGAUAACUUUCAUUAUUCCAUACUGUAUUCUGUUUCUAAUUGUA